rnacentral:rRNA from 1 species
AUGAACGCUGGCGGCGUGCCUCAUCCAUGCCAGUCGCGCGAACAGACGAGGAGCUUGCUCCUUUGACGUUAGCGGCGGACGGGUGAGUAACACGUGGAUAACCUACCUAUAAGACUGGGAUAACUUCGGGAAACCGGAGCUAAUACCGGAUAACAUGUUGAACCGCAUGGUUCAACAGUGAAAGACGGUCUUGCUGUCACUUAUAGAUGGAUCCGCGCCGCAUUAGCUAGUUGGUAAGGUAACGGCUUACCAAGGCAACGAUGCGUAGCCGACCUGAGAGGGUGAUCGGCCACACUGGAACUGAGACACGGUCCAGACUCCUACGGGAGGCAGCAGUAGGGAAUCUUCCGCAAUGGGCGAAAGCCUGACGGAGCAACGCCGCGUGAGUGAAGAAGGUCUUCGGAUCGUAAAACUCUGUUAUUAGGGAAGAACAAAUGUGUAAGUAACUAUGCACGUCUUGACGGUACCUAAUCAGAAAGCCACGGCUAACUACGUG